UAAACUUAUGAGAAUAAUAAAAGUAAGGCAGGUUGCAGUGUGGAGUUUCGUAGACGCCGUUUGCAAAACUUUAAUUCAUAGUAUUUCAUUGCAAAUAAUUAUUUAAUUACUCGUCGGAGACACAGCCCACUAUGAUAUGGUAACAGGCUUCUUUGUUGUUGUGCCUAGUCUAAUCGUUUUCAUUUAUUAGUACAUAUUUGCCUAGGCACUUGUGGUAUUAUAUCUAAUUAGCUAGAUAGAUAACCUCUAAUAUAUGCAGCGAAGGCAAGCUAACAUCUAUACUUACUUAAAAGUCGAUGUCAGGUUAGUUUAAAUGGAUUAUAUGAUCUCCGUUCCAAACAAAAGACGACACGAAGACCUUGAAGACCGGGGGCAUUUUCAUCAAGCUAAAAGAUUAUGCAACGGUUUCGGAAGCUGUGGUCAGGUUGAAUAUGGCGCGGUGGUGGACAGCCCGAUGGAUACACGGGAGAAUCAGCAGCAGGGCCUCCAAAACUGCAAUUCUCUCCGAAACCACCACGCUCAGAAUAUGGUGUAUACAGCUCAAGCUGGGGUGUAUCCACAAAUGUGUCCAAGAUGCAUGGCAGGAGAACCGGGUCACAUUAACCAUAUAAUGGGAUGCUGAACAGUUCAACCACUGAUUUUCGAAGAAACGUGGUGUAAUGGGGGAUAGAAUAACAUUUUGCUCACUUUAGUGCAGGUUUUUUGUGCCUUGCAGACAUAUAUAAUUGUUAAAACAAUAUAUUUUUUUAACCUAAGUACUUGCUCCAAGGGAAUGUUCUUGAAGUUUAUAUUGAGACACUCUUAUAUAGGACAAGGAUUUCUCAUAUAGGGUAAUUACCAAAGCACUUUGCCUGUUAGUGGCACCACAUUUAAUGGGACACAGUUUUUUUUUUCUUUCCUUGAAACAGUGUCUGGUGAGAUCAAGAGAUGAAUGAAAAUCACUUUUUGAAAUGUUUUUACAACAUUUUGAUAUACUAUGGAUUCCAUCCUGGUGUGUGUGUAUAUAUUUGUGGGUCUGUGUUUUUUAUGAUUAGUUUUUCAUUAAAAAAAAAAAAAUGUGAUUUAAAUGCAUAAUUACUUAUUAAUGCUUUGUUUUGGCGGGAAAGUAGUUUCCUGAAAUAGUUUUUUUUUUUUUUUCUUUCUGAUAUACAUACAAAGUAUGCAAAUAAUGUAGUAAAACAGAUUUUUUUUUAUUAAUUAGGUGUGUUAAGAUAUUUGGUAAAAAAAUAAAAUAAAAUCUGUUAAAUGUUUUGUUUUGUCAAUCCGGAUUGCUUCUCAGUCAAUUUUUGCAGUCUACAGUAAUUUGCCAUCUUUCUAAGUAAAGUUUCUGUGAAAAAUUAGUAAUCUUGGUCAAAGGUAAUUAUUUACCAGAGAUUUGCAAUGUCAGGUGCAUUCUGUCCUCCAGCAUGAAAUGAAUUUUUUAUUUGUAAUUUUCUAACAAAUAUUUGAAAUGCACAAUAAUGACUGAGUGAUGUCAGUCUUUUUUUUUUACAUCAAGUAACAGAAUCAGAACAUAAAGGGUUGUAAUGAAUUGUAACUUCAAUAUAUUUUCUGUAAAGCUCAUUUGAGUAAUAAAAAAUUUGCAUUGUG